ACAUCCAGAGAACUUAGCAGAGAUGCUUUGGUGCCUUCGGGAACUCUGAGACAGGUGCUGCAUGGCUGUCGUCAGCUCGUGUUGUGAAAUGUUGGGUUAAGUCCCGNAACGAGCGCAACCCUUAUCCUUUGUUGCCAGCGGUUCGGCCGGGAACUCAAAGGAGACUGCCGGUGAUAAACCGGAGGAAGGUGGGGAUGACGUCAAGUCAUCAUGGCCCUUACGGCCAGGGCUACACACGUGCUACAAUGGCGCAUACGAAGAGAAGCGACCUCGCGAGAGCAAGCGGACCUCAUAAAGUGCGUCGUAGUCCGGAUUGGAGUCUGCAACUCGACUCCAUGAAGUCGGAAUCGCUAGUAAUCGUAGAUCAGAAUGCUACGGUGAAUACGUUCCCGGGCCUUGUACACACCGCCCGUCACACCAUGGGAGUGGGUUGCAAAAGAAGUAGGUAGCUUAACCUUCGGGAGGGCGCUUACCACUUUGUGAUUCAUGACUGGGGUGAAGUCGUAACAAGGUAAGCGUAGCGAG
rnacentral:rRNA from 1 species